rnacentral:rRNA from 1 species
AUUGAACGCUGGCGGCAGGCCUAACACAUGCAAGUCGAGCGGCAGCGGGAAAGUAGCUUGCUACUUUUGCCGGCGAGCGGCGGACGGGUGAGUAAUGCCUGGGGGAUCUGCCCAGUCGAGGGGGAUAACUACUGGAAACGGUAGCUAAUACCGCAUACGCCCUACGGGGGAAAGCAGGGGACCUUCGGGCCUUGCGCGAUUGGAUGAACCCAGGUGGGAUUAGCUAGUUGGUGAGGUAAUGGGCUCACCAAGGCGACGAGUCCCUAGCUGGUCUGAGAGGAUGAUCAGCCACACUGGAACUGAGACACGGUCCAGACUCCUACGGGAGGC